rnacentral:rRNA from 1 species
CCUACGGGUGGCAGCAGUGAGGAAUAUUGGUCAAUGGGCGCGAGCCUGAACCAGCCAAGUCGCGUGAGGGAAGACGGCCCUACGGGUUGUAAACCUCUUUUGCCGGGGAGCAACGGGCGCCACGUGUGGCGCCACUGAGAGUACCCGGAGAAAAAGCAUCGGCUAAGUCCGUGCCAGCAGCCGCGGUAAUACGGAGGAUGCGAGCGUUAUCCGGAUUUAUUGGGUUUAAAGGGUGCGUAGGCGGAGCGUUAAGUCAGUGGUGAAAGUUUGCGGCUCAACCGUAAAAUUGCAGUUGAAACUGGCAGUCUUGAGUACAGUAGAGGUGGGCGGAAUUCGUGGUGUAGCGGUGAAAUGCUUAGAUAUCACGAAGAACUCCGAUUGCGAAGGCAGCUCACUGGACUGCAACUGACACUGAGGCUCGAAAGUGUGGGUAUCAAACAGGAUUAGAUACCCCUGUAGUC